AUGGAGUGGAGCUUCAACAAUUCCGGCAUUGAUGUAGAUGAUGAACUUUGGGUGGUUAAUGUGCUGCCAAUUAAUGGUCUAGGGGAUAAUGUGCAAAGGAUAAUUGGACUGUCUGAUAACAUGGAGGGCGACACCGAUAUUGAGGACUUUUAUCCACUACUAGAUGAUACACCUGUUAUUCCUAUUGAAGAUAGCACACUUGAUUCUUGCAAUCCAUCAAAGAAGAGAGCAGAAGCAUGGCAGAAGAAGAAACUGAGGAAGGAUGCUAUUCUCGGUUCACAAGCAAAGUUGCGAGAUGUAACCAACACUCAAGCAUGUGAACUUUCAGAUCCAGGAAGUGAGGAUAUUGGAAUGGAUAUAAUAUCAAGCGAUGAUGAUGGCUUUGAACCUGCAAUAUCCGUUGCACCAAAAUGCAAGAAGAGUAGAGCACAACCACUUCCAACUAGAGUGUGGUAUGAUGAGGGCAGGUUGCUUGGAGGUGAACAACUCUGUUUGCAUAUGUGUUUUGUGAACAUGCAUCAAUACAGAAGAGCCUUGAAGAAUUAUCAUAUACUUCAAAGUAGAGACUAUAUGUAUCUUAGAAAUGAUAGAGAUCGGGUCAAUGUUUGUUGUGUGACUGAACUUUGCCAAUUCUAUAUGACCUGUUCAUGUUCAUGCUGA
rnacentral:rRNA from 1 species